AUUGAACGCUGGCGGCAGGCCUAACACAUGCAAGUCGAGCGGAGCGGCGGACGGGUGAGUAAUGCCUAGGAAUCUGCCUGGUAGUGGGGGAUAACGUCCGGAAACGGGCGCUAAUACCGCAUACUAUCAGAUGAGCCUAGGUCGGAUUAGCUAGUUGGUGGGUUAAAGGCCUACCAAGGCUACGAUCCGUAACUGGUCUGAGAGGAUGAUCAGUCAAACUGGAACGGAGACACGGUCAAAAAUCCUACGGGAGGCAGCAGUGGGGAAUAUGGGACAAUGGGCGAAAGCCUGAUCCAGCCAUGCAGCGUGUGUGAAGAAGGUCUUCGGAUUGUAAAGCACGUUAAGUUGGGAGGCGUUACCAACAGAAUAAGCACCGGCUAACUUCGUGCCAGCCGCCGCGGUAAUUC
rnacentral:rRNA from 1 species